UACGGAGGGUGCAAGCGUUAUCCGGAUUCACUGGGUUUAAAGGGUGCGUAGGUGGGUUGGUAAGUCAGUGGUGAAAUCCCCGAGCUUAACUUGGGAACUGCCAUUGAUACUAUUAAUCUUGAAUACCGUGGAGGUUAGCGGAAUAUGUCAUGUAGCGGUGAAAUGCUUAGAUAUGACAUAGAACACCAAUUGCGAAGGCAGCUCACUACGGAUCGAUUGACACUGAGGCACGAAAGCGUGGGGAUCAAACAGG
rnacentral:rRNA from 1 species